UUUUUAUGUGGACCUCUGUCCUUGUGCCUCUGGUGCUUGGAUGGAACCACAUAAGCAGGUGAAACUUCUUAGAGGAACUGGCGUUCGAAAAGGCGCACGAGAAAGAGCAAUAACAGGUCUGUGAUGCCCUAAGAUGUCCGGGGCCGCACGCGUGCUACAAUGACGAUGCUACUGAGCAUGAUUAACUUGUCCGAAAGGAUUGGUGAAACUGUUCAAUCAUCGUCGUGACUGGGAUUGGGGUUUGCAAUUGUCCCCCAUGAACCAGGAAUUCCUAGUAAGCACAAGUCAUAAGCUUGUGCUGAUUACGUCCCUGCCCUUUGUACACACCGCCCGUCGCUACUACCGAUUGAAUGGUUUAGCAAGGACAUUGGAUUGAGCCCUUGCGGUUUCGGCUGCUUGGGUUUGAGAAGAUGUCCGAACUUGAUCAUUUAGAGGAAGUAAAAGUCGUAACAAGGUUUCCGUAGGUGAACCUGCGGAAGGAUCAUUA
rnacentral:rRNA from 1 species